CUGGAGCCUGUUCAGAGGGAUUUGUACAGAGAUGUGAUGUUGGAGAACUCCAGCCACCUGGUCUCACUGGGUCUUGCCAUGUCCAAACCUGAUGUGAUAUCCAUCCUAGAGCAAGGUAAUGAGCCCUGGGUACAGGAAAGGGCCACAGCAGUAGUGCUGGGUUCAGAUUGCUUGGCUAGAGUGUGGGAAAGAAGAUCUUCCCCCAUGGAGUCACACAACAGAGCCACUGCCUUUCCAGCUGUCACCAUGGGAUACUUGUGUGUGACCCACAUACACCAUGCCGGGAACCCUGACAAGAAUGCUGAGCAGUGACUAGGAAGGGGGCAAGCAGA
rnacentral:lncRNA from 1 species